GGGUGUGUGUGUGAGGGGGGUGUGUGUGUUAGGGGUGUGUGUGUUAGGGAUGUGUGUGUGUGUUAGGGAUGUGUGUGUGAGGGGUGUGUGUGAGGGGUGUGUGUGUGAGGGGUGUGUGUGUGUGUUAGGAACGUGUGUGUGUGUGUUAGGGGUGUGUGUGUUAGGGAUGUGUGUGUGAGGGGUGUGUGGGUGUGUGUGUGAGGGGUGUGUGUGUGAGGGGUGUGUGUGUGAGGGGUGUGUGUGUGUGUGUGCGAGGGGUGUGUGUGUGAGGGGUGUGUGUGUGUGUGUUUGAGGGGUGUGUGUGUGAGGGGUGUGUGUGUGUGAGGGGUGUGUGUGUGAGGGGUGUGUGUGUGUGUGUG